rnacentral:rRNA from 1 species
UACAGAGGGGGCAAGCGUUAUUCGGAAUUAUUGGGCGUAAAGGGCGCGUAGGCGGCUUGGCAAGUGGAAGGUGAAAUCCCUCAGCUUAACCGAGGAACUGCCCUCCAAACUGCUUCGCUUGAGACCAGGAGAGGUGAGUGGAAUUCCCAGUGUAGCGGUGAAAUGCGUAGAUAUUGGGAGGAACACCAGUGGCGAAGGCGGCUCACUGGACUGGUACUGACGCUGAGGCGCGAAAGCGUGGGGAGCAAACGGG